ACGAAGGGGGCGAGCGUUGUUCGGAUUUACUGGGCGUAAAGGGCGCGCAGGCGGUCAUUUUUGUCGAGUGUGAAAGCCCCGGGCUUAACCUGGGAACUGCGCUCGAAACGGGAUGACUAGAGAUCGGGAGAGGAGAGUGGAAUUCCCAGUGUAGAGGUGAAAUUCGUAGAUAUUCGGAAGAACACCAGUGGCGAAGGCGACUCACUGGACACGUAUUGACGCUGAGGUGCGAAAGCGUGGGGAGCAAACAGGA
rnacentral:rRNA from 1 species